ACGCACGCUGGCGGCAUGCCUCACCCCUGCCAGUCGCACGAGACCUUCGGGUCUAGUGGCGCACGGGUGCGUCACGCGUGGGAACCUGCCCUUAGGUUCGGAAUAACUCCCCGAAAGGGGUGCUAAUACCGGAUAAUGUCUUCGGACCAAAGAUUUAUCGCCUUUGGAUGGGCCCGCGUUGGAUUAGCUAGUUGGUAGGGUAAAAGCCUACCAAGGCGACGAUCCAUAGCUGGUCUGAGAGGAUGAUCAGCCACACUGGGACUGAGACACGGCCCAGACUCCUACGGGAGGCAGCAGUGGGGAAUAUUGGACAAUGGGCGAAAGCCUGAUCCAGCAAUGCCGCGUGAGUGAUGAAGGCCUUAGGGUUGUAAAGCUCUUUUACCCGGGAUGAUAAUGACAGUACCGGGAGAAUAAGCGCCGGCUAACUCCGUG
rnacentral:rRNA from 1 species